AUGCCCCACCGUGUCCUCUCACUUGCUAGUUCUGCCAUGCGCUGGAGGUACUCGGCCACUAGGUUCCUCGAGAACUGUACAUAUUUCUCAGCUGAGUUGGAUCAGAAGAAAGCCAGCCGCACCUUAAACUCUCUGUCAAACUCUGCCUCACAGUAGCUGGGCGCCAUGCUUGUUUCAAGAUGUGCAGGAGUUCUAGGUGUAUUCUGGAUGUUCCCCCAAGACUAGGAAGCCAUCCCACUUCUACCACCAAUGUAAUGGAGCUCCCUGUACCACUGGCUGGGUACCUCCACCAAGGACCGCUUCCUAGCUGGAACAGGGGACAAACUGCAGCACUUCUCAAAUCCUUAUGCUAGGUAACUAACAGG